AUACGUAGGUGACAAGCGUUAUCCGGAUUUACUGGGCGUAAAGGGCGUGUAGGCGGUCUUGCAAGUCAGAAGUGAAAUUCCUGAGCUCAACUCGGGCGCUGCUUCUGAAACUGCAGGACUUGAGUGCUGGAGGGGAUAGCGGAAUUCCUAGUGGAGCGGUAAAAUGCGCAGAUAUUAGGAAGAACACCGGUGGCGAAGGCGGCUAGCUGGACAGUAACUGACGCUGAGGCGCGAAAGCGUGGGGAGCAAACAGGAUUAGAUACCCUGGUAGUCCACACUGUAAACGAUGAAUGCUAGGUGUAGGGGGUAUCGACUCCCUCUGUGCCGCAGUUAACACAAUAAGUAUUCCGCCUGGGGAGUACGGCCGCAAGGUUGAAACUCAAAUGAAUUAGCGGGG
rnacentral:rRNA from 1 species